rnacentral:rRNA from 2 species
GGUUAAGUUAUUAAGGGCGUAUGGUGGAUGCCUUGGCACUAGGAGCCGAUGAAGGACGUGACUAACUGCGAUAUGCUUCGGGGAGUUGUAAGUAAACUAUGAUCCGGAGAUUUCCGAAUGGGGAAACCUAACAGGUUUUACCGCCUGUUAUCACUAAGUGAAUUCAUAGCUUAGUUGAAGGUAGACGUGGGGAACUGAAACAUCUAAGUACCCACAGGAAGAGAAAGAAAUUCGAUUCCCUCAGUAGCGGCGAGCGAACCGGGAAGAGCCCAAACUAAGAAGCUUGCUUCUUAGGGUUGUAGGACUGAACAUCUGAGUUACCAAGAAAUGAAGUAGUUGAAUAAUCUGGGAAGAUUAGCCAAAGAGAGUGAUAGCCUCGUAAGCGAAACUUCGUUUCCUCAGUUCAGGAUCCUGAGUACGGCGGAACACGUGAAACUCCGUCGGAAUCCGGGAGGACCAUCUC